UACGGGGGAUGCGAGCGUUAUCCGGAUUUAUUGGGUUUAAAGGGUGCGUAGGCGGCGCUUCAGGUCAGCGGUGAAAUACCGGGGCUCAACCCCGGGGCUGCCGUUGAAACUGGCAGUCUCGAGUUGGAGAGAAGUAUGCGGAAUGCGCGGUGUAGCGGUGAAAUGCAUAGAUAUCGCGCAGAACUCCGAUUGCGAAGGCAGCAUGCCGGCUCCACACUGACGCUGAGGCACGAAAGCGUGGGUAUCGAACAGG
rnacentral:rRNA from 1 species